AAAGCUAUUGCUGCUGCGGUAUGGAAACAAAGUGCCUCCUAAUUGAUCGUUAAUACUGCUGGAGAGUGAGGAUGUUGGGAACUGCCAUAUCAAGCCCAUUUACUCCAACUUCUGGGUCAGCUCUUCAGCUGGUGUAAAUCAGCCAUCCUUCCUGGCUUCUUAACAGUUCAGUGUAUGCUGCUCCAUUGAGGAGUUGGUUCUGGCUCUGUAGCUUGGUGCUCUUUACAAGCACCAGAUCCUACAGGGCUCUUGUCUAGCAAUGAAGGAAUACUCCCUGCUCUAGAAUAGUGACUAGAGUAAUUUUUUCGUAGAUGGGGAGACUUUGCCAUAGUGCUUAAGGCAUGAGCUAGGAAGAACAACAGAGGAUGUUCUCCUGGAAAACUUAAAUAACACUAACUGUGAAGAAAACUGAGAGGAACAAAUCAUUCUGAACGUUACCAGCAAUGUAAUUCGCUCAUCAGCUGGGAGACAAAGGAAUGUCAAUAGAAAAGACAGACUGCAAGCAAGCAGGACUAGAGAGGACCCAGGAGCCCCAUGGGACAUGCUCAGACGGUCGCCAUGCAUGAGAAAGGGCAGCUCGAGAAAGGUAAAAAGCAGAUAGACAGGGUCAGCUGAAAAUUGCCUCAGGUUGAUUGUCAUCCUCCAUCCCUCCCCUCGGCUGUUCAUAUCUGUGCUACGUCCUCCUUGGCUGAAGGGCUGUUCUCGUCCUCCUUGCAGUCUGCCUGGGACACGGCAAACACCACUUCACCAUUUCCACCAGGAACAAAGAACCAUGCACAGCACUGGCUGCUGCUGACGCACGGGGCAAGUUUGAUACAAAAACAUUUUUGUUACAGUGCAAGAUUUGUCAUGGUAGCAUAAACCUUUGUAUGGAGAACUUUAUCUAUGCUUAGCAUGAUAAUGGUAAAGCAGACAUAAGUAAAUUAACCGGCACAAGACAAAUGUCAGUGAAGUUAGUUUAAGAAAUUUAAGCCGAUACAAAAUGAAAUGUGUUCCCUUUG